rnacentral:lncRNA from 1 species
UAACAACUGUCAUAUUCCUGACUUGGUACAGACAUUUUCUUAUGUAGAAAAUGGUAGAUUAAACCUUGUUUUAUAGCUAGCUAAACCUCUCACUUACUGUAAACCAACUUAUUUUCGCGUAUACUUUAUUUCGCGUUUUACCCUUUCUUGACCACUUCGCGGCUUUUUAAUUUCGCGAUUAUUUGAUUUACUUGAUGAAGUUUAUUAAGGAAAGAUCAAAGAUUGACAUAUUCGCGACGAUUUAUAUUCGCGUUAUUUUUCUACUCGCGAAA